CAUCUCUCUCAUUGCACUUUAUUUCUUUCUUUCGUUCUUUCUUUGCCCUUUUUUCUUGAUUAUUUGUGUGUUAUUGGUCUGAUGGGUACUCAAAUCAUGUUAAAUGUUCUUGAUUUUCUUACAAAUGUUUAUCUUCUUGAUUUCUGUUUGUUUGCCAUGAAAAUUAAACCUUGUAUUGUUUGUCGAAUUCUUUGUUUAUUUAUGUUGAAUCACUUUUUGUGUUAAAUAAAAAUAAUUUCCUUUGUGUUCAUGUUAAACAGGGGAAGCCAUUUGAGGGGAAAACAAGCUAUUUGAGAAGAAGAAGAAGAAGGCCCUAAAAUGCAGCAGCAGAGAACACGUGUUGCAGAUCAGUGGUUGGUGAAUUCUACAGCAGUAGUGGUCUUCCCUCCUGCUUGAUCUCCCAUCCAUCACAGGUUUAUCAUAAUGUGGCAAAUUUACUAGAUGUAUAGCAUACAGAUAUUCUUGUGGGUAGCUUUUGUGGGUACAGAUAUAUUCUUGUGGUAUUUUUGGGGUGAUGGUGGGAGGUUGGUCUGUUGGGGAAGAAAUAUUUUGAGAUAGAAAUUUCCAACUGUUUGUGAGUAGCUGCGAGAGUAUGACUGGCUUUUUACCUGGUGGCAUUGGUUCCUUCUUUCUUGCCUUGCUAUCCAUCAACCAUGGCCUGUCAUUUUCUUCGAACUUUCAUUAAGACUCGCCACUUAGCAUUAUCUCCAAAUGUUUGGAUCUUGAAUGAAAAAUAGGCAUAGUGGCGAGAUAGGUAGCACAACUUGUCACUCCAUAGACCGGACAUGAUAUAUACCAAUUUUUCAUCUAGGAGAGAAAGGACCCACUGAAAUUAAGAAACUCUUGUGGAAAUUGCUCGAUAUUCCGCUUCGGUGGAAGAUUUCGCCACCAUAUGCUGUUUUCUCGAUUCCCAAGUAACCAAAUUUUUGCUGAAGAAUAUGCAAAAACCAGUGGUGGAUUUUCUGUCGUCUAUAGAACUCGCCCAAUCACUAUAUAAGCUGAAACAACUGAGCUGCUGCGGCCAAGAAAGAGGCUGUUAUUAGUGUUGUUUGCAAAAUAUCUUUGCCCGGUGAAGUAAGUCACGAAUAUACACUUCUUCUGUGUGAGCAAUAAACCUGUUGGUUUCCAGGUGGCCUCUACGCCAAGAAAAUAAUUCAACUGUCCGAAAUCUUUCAUAGCAAAUUCACAGCUCAAGGAUGAGUGGUACCAUUGACGUGGUGCUUGCUUGAGACCGUACAAUGAUUUGCUUAAUUUGCAAACAUAGGUUGGACAGUGAGGAUUGAUGAAACCCGUUGUUCCAUAAAGACCGAUUCAUCAAGAGAGGAAUUCCAGGAGAUUUUUCAAAUGGUGUUGAUUGCACUCUUGAAAAUUGUCGUGUGAACUGGUGCCACUCUGUUCAUCAAAAACAACAUGGUGUUUUUUUGUUGAUUGCACCCUUUUUGAAGUUUACAGUAACCUACAAAAUACACAAGAUUGUUUUCGAAGUGUAGGUGUAGGUGUAGGUAGUCGAUUGAUUAGGUAAUUUGCUGUUUCAAACGCCUAAAGUCCAAUAUUCAGUUGGCAUUAUGACAAUGCAACGGUGUUUGCUCUCGGCUUACCGUUUUGUUCAGGAGUUUUUAGGACAUGAAGUGCGUUGAGAAGUGAUAAGUAUGUUCGCCACCUAAAUCAGAUUGAAACAUUUUAAUAGACCGGUUAAAAAACUUCUCAACAAUUUUCCAAACGAAUUAAUUCCAAAGGAGCAGUAGCAACAUAUUAAUCGGCCACCACGACCACGUGAUGAAUUUCUAUUGCUGCUGUAGAAGGCCGUCUGAAUAGGUGCUGAAGCGGUGCUGCGGUAGUACUUUCAGCAGCUAUGCUACUUUCUUUGGACAAUAGAAGUCCACAAAGAUCGUAGAACCCAAACCAAUAGUACCAUUUGAUCUUGUCUGUACCAGUUAUGAUGAGCAAGAUUGAUUUGAUUGUCUGCCGUGAUUGGUGAGGUUCACCCGUGCCAUCAAUAUGGCCAGCGAGAUAGCUACGAAGAAGAGGUAGCAGUUGUGCUUGCCAUAGAAGGUAGUUUGUGUCUACAGACAAACAACCAUCAGCUUAAUCCAUCAUCAAAAAUAAUUUCUCUUUGUCAUUUCAGCUUGAGAAUUGUGUAGCUUAUUUGUUUCAUUAUCAAAUUAUACUAAGCUAAAAACUAUUCUCAAGCAGGAAACAUUUCCUACUCCAAAACCGUUAUUUUUUGUUUGAAAUGAUUUUUGAUGAUGGAUUAAAAAUAUUGUUGUGAACAACUAUGUUUAUGGAGGAUGAAAAGCAUCAACAACUA